GAUGAACGCUGGCGGCGUGCCUAAUACAUGCAAGUCGAGCGAACAGACGAGGAGCUUGCUCCUCUGGUGUUAGCGGCGGACGGGUGAGUAACACGUGGAUAACCUACCUAUAAGACUGGGAUAACUUCGGGAAACCGGAGCUAAUACCGGAUAACAUGUUGAACCGCAUGGUUCAACAGUGAAAGACGGUCUUGCUGUCACUUAUAGAUGGAUCCGCGCCGCAUUAGCUAGUUGGUAAGGUAACGGCUUACCAAGGCAACGAUGCGUAGCCGACCUGAGAGGGUGAUCGGCCACACUGGAACUGAGACACGGUCCAGACUCCUACGGGAGGCAGCAGUAGGGAAUCUUCCGCAAUGGGCGAAAGCCUGACGGAGCAACGCCGCGUGAGUGAAGAAGGUCUUCGGAUCGUAAAACUCUGUUAUUAGGGAAGAACAAAUGUGUAAGUAACUAUGCACGUCUUGACGGUACCUAAUCAGAAAGCCACGGCUAACUACGUG
rnacentral:rRNA from 1 species